rnacentral:tRNA from 1 species
GGCGAGAUGGCUCAGUGGUUAAGAGCACUGACUGUUCUUCAGAAGGUCCUGAGUUCAAAUUCCAGCAACCACA